rnacentral:rRNA from 1 species
AGUCGCACGAGAAAGUGGAGCAAUCCAUGAGUAAAGUGGCGCACGGGUGAGUAACACGUGAAUAAUCUACCUCCGAGUGGGGAAUAACUUCGGGAAACCGAGGCUAAUACCGCAUAACACUUACGAGUCAAAGCAGCAAUGCGCUUGGAGAGGAGUUCGCGGCAGAUUAGCUAGUUGGUGGGGUAAUGGCCCACCAAGGCGAUGAUCUGUAUCCGGCCUGAGAGGGCGCACGGACACACUGGAACUGAAACACGGUCCAGACUCCUACGGGAGGCAGCAGUGGGGAAUUUUGCGCAAUGGGGGAAACCCUGACGCAGCAACGCCGCGUGGAGGAUGAAAUCCCUUGGGAUGUAAACUCCUUUCGAUCGGGACGAUUAUGACGGUACCGGAAGAAGAAGCCCCGGCUAACUUCGUGCCAGCAGCCGCGGUAAUACGAGGGGGGCAAGCGUUGUUCGGAAUUAUUGGGCGUAAAGGGUGCGUAGGCGGUUUGAUAAGUCUUAUGUGAAAUCUCUGGGCUCAACCCAGAGUCUGCAUAGGAAACUGUCGGGCUUGAGUAUGGGAGAGGUGAGUGGAAUUUCCGGUGUAGCGGUGAAAUGCGUAGAUAUCGGAAGGAACACCUGUGGCGAAAGCGGCUCACUGGACCAUUACUGACGCUGAUGCACGAAAGCUAGGGGAGCAAACAGGAUUAGAUACCCUGGUAGUCCUAGCCCUAAACGAUGAUUGCUUGAUGUGGAGGGUACCCAAUCCUUCCGUGUCGAAGCU